rnacentral:rRNA from 1 species
AUUGAACGCUGGCGGCAGGCUUAACCCAUGCAAGUCGAGCGAGCGGCGGCCGGGUGAGUAAUGUCUGUGAACCUGCCUUAUGUAGGGGGCUAACUCCUGGAAACGGUAGCUAAUACCGCAUACCAUCAGAUUUGCCCCUAUGGGCUUAGCUAGGAGGUGGGGUAAUGGAUCACCUCGGCGACGAUCCCUAGCUGGUCUGAGAGGAUGACCAGCCACACUGGAACGGAGACACGGGCCAGACGCCUACGGGAGGCAGCAGGGGGGAAUAGUGCACAAUGGGCGCAAGCCUGAUGCAGCCAUGCCGCGUGUGUGAAGAAGGCCUUCGGGUUGUAAAGCACUUUCAGCGAGGAGGCGGUACUCGCAGAAGAAGCACCGGCUAACUCCGUGCCAGCAGCCGCGGUAAUAC